UACGUAGGGUGCAAGCGUUGUCCGGAAUUAUUGGGCGUAAAGAGCUCGUAGGCGGUUCGUCGCGUCGGCUGUGAAAACCUGAGGCUCAACCUCAGGCCUGCAGUCGAUACGGGCGGACUUGAGUACUGCAGGGGAGACUGGAAUUCCUGGUGUAGCGGUGAAAUGCGCAGAUAUCAGGAGGAACACCGGUGGCGAAGGCGGGUCUCUGGGACGGUACUGACGCUGAGACGCGAAAGCGUGGGGAGCGAACAGG
rnacentral:rRNA from 1 species